rnacentral:lncRNA from 1 species
CCAUGAUUAGAGAAAAUAUUCGACUAGAAAUUACAUUCUUGAUAAUACUUUAAUUUUAACACAAACAAAGGAGGAAGAUGAUUCAAGAUCAACAGAACGGAUCCUGGAACAAAGUGAGGAAAAUGGAUUCUUACAAACUAAUCUAAAACAAUUUACUACACUUAACCAUUUGAUUUCUCUGGUCUUGAAAAUCUUACAAAACCGUAUAGAGAUCAGAUCCUAUAUCAUUAAACAAUAACCCAAUUACCCAACAAAGCAAGGCCACACGCUUUCCAUAAACGCCACCGUUUCGCUUAACAAAAAGUCAAAAACACUCGGGAAUAUUGUUUACUCCGCCGGUAAAGUUUCCGGCCGCCAUGAAAACAUGUCACCGGAAUCUAAACAAACAUCGGAAUAUUCGAAUAGCCCAUCAUCCAGAUCGAAAGCUCCGAAACCCGUAACAUCCUCCUCAAAUCCACUUAACACGUCGACUUCCGACGACGCGCGUACCAACUCCGUAACCGUCUUCUCCGUUUCUUCAGACGACGGAUGAAGAA